rnacentral:tRNA from 1 species
GGUUGUGGCUCAGUGGUAAAGUGCUUGCUUAGCACACGUGAGGCACUGGGUUCAAACCUCAGCACCA